UGUCGAAUCACAUGCAUGUACUCGUCUCCCAUCGUGAACUGCACCUGCGGAGGAGCAGCCCAGUCGCACACCACGGACACGCCCUUGUUGACCGCCGCAGGAUUAAUGCAGUACAGCUGCAAAUAAAAUACGUCGUUUCAAAUAUGAAUAUAUUGACGGAUUAAGUGUUUGAAUAAAUUUCGACCUUCUGGAAAGCUUCUUUUUGCCCUGGAUGGAUAUAAGCUUCAGGAUAAUCCAUUUUAUAACGGGAUGUAAAAUCCGAAUCUGAAAGUUAAAGCGAUUUGUUUAGAAAAACUGCGUAAAUAUCGUAUUUGUGGCUAAUCCUAUUAGGUACGUGUUUACUCACCUUUCGUGACUUGAGUACAAUGCGGUGGUGAACUUAACUUUGCAUCCAUUCCAAAGAUGCAAAACAACAUUACGAACACCAAAAUAUAUUUGACAAUCAUUUUAAAAACUCGCAACACUUUUUACCUUCGACACUGAAACUCAUCUGAAGCAAAAACAGUUUUAUCCGUAACCCGAGACGAGGAAAAUAAACAUGUUUUGUUGUACUAUCAAAAGACACUUUGACCUCUAGGCAUAAAUAUUGUUGUACCUGCCCUAUAUAAUAUACACAAUUAAUGUGAUAAGUAUUUUGCGAUUUAAACUUAAUAUGGUCAUUAAUCAAGAUAAGGUUUUUUUUCAAAUGUGAAGUAUAUUAAUGUGGGUCCUUGACAUCAUAAUAAUCUGUCUGUGUCUUAAAUUACCGUGGGUGCAACCGAGUGGAACAGCUAUUAAUAAUAUUACUUAAUUCGGAAGAAUGGUUCAGUGGUUAGAUGUUAAUUAGAUACCGAUAAAUAAGUAUUUGAUAAGAAAAAGUUGUGAAGGUAAAUGAAAUAUAAUCAACGAAGAUCGUUUGCUCCAAACUGAGGAAAACGUGAAAUUAAAAUAAAAUAAAGUUGGUACCAAAGCAGAGCAUGAUGCAUGGCAGCUGUUUCCACCUCCAUUUCACUUCCGGUCACUGGAAUUUUUUAUAGCUCUUUUUUAAUAUAUAAAUUGAAUACUUAUUUAAGAACUUCAACUUAAAACUGGAAUAAAGAUAUUCUAAAGUAACCCAUUAAAAUAUACAAAAAUUGUUAAUCAGUGUAAGGUACCUACUUCGUAUCUUUGUAAUAAUUGUAAUAUUUUUUUUUAGUCUUGUCAAGUCAUUUGCAAUUUCGUCUAGUAAUUUAUCCUGAAAGUCACUGCUAUUAACAUCGAUAUGGUUUAUUGAAUUUGCAGACUGCAUAACGCUGAAAUAUCACAAGAAUAACACAAGUUAAUAAAAAUGUAAUUAAAGUUCA